UAAUUGAAGAGUUUGAUCAUGGCUCAGAUUGAACGCUGGCGGCAGGCCUAACACAUGCAAGUCGAACGGUAACAGGGAGUAGCUUGCUGCUCUGCUGACGAGUGGCGGACGGGUGAGUAAUGUCUGGGAAACUGCCUGAUGGAGGGGGAUAACUACUGGAAACGGUAGCUAAUACCGCAUAACGUCUACGGACCAAAGUGGGGGACCUUCGGGCCUCAUGCCAUCAGAUGUGCCCAGAUGGGAUUAGCUAGUAGGUGGGGUAACGGCUCACCUAGGCGACGAUCCCUAGCUGGUCUGAGAGGAUGACCAGCCACACUGGAACUGAGACACGGUCCAGACUCCUACGGGAGGCAGCAGUGGGGAAUAUUGCACAAUGGGCGCAAGCCUGAUGCAGCCAUGCCGCGUGUAUGAAGAAGGCCUUCGGGUUGUAAAGUACUUUCAGCGGGGAGGAAGGCGUUGUGGUUAAUAACC
rnacentral:rRNA from 1 species